GUCAGGAUGGCUGAGCGGUCUAAAUCACUGUGGUCAUGUUGCAGCUUCUUCUGGAGGAGUGGGUUCGAUUCCCACUUCUCACA
rnacentral:tRNA from 1 species